UACGUAGGGUGCGAGCGUUAAUCGGAAUUACUGGGCGUAAAGCGUGCGCAGGCGGUGCGUUGUGUCGGUGGUGGAAUCCCCGGGCUAACCUGGGAACUGCCAUCGAACUGGCGUACGUAGAGUGUGGCAGAGGGGGGUGGAAGUUCCGCGUGUAGCAGUGAAAUGCGUAGAUAUGCGGAGGAACACCGAUGGCGAAGGCAGCCCCCUGGGCUAACACUGACGCUCAGGCACGAAAGCGUGGGGGAGCAAACAGG
rnacentral:rRNA from 1 species